rnacentral:rRNA from 1 species
CGACGUGAGCAAUCUGCCUUGGAGUGGGGAAUAACGGUUGGAAACAGCCGCUAAUACCGCAUGAUACAGCUACCCCGCAUGGGGUUGGCUGCCAAAGAUUUAUCGCUCUGAGAUGAGCUCGCGUCUGAUUAGCUUGUUGGCGGGGUAACGGCCCACCAAGGCGACGAUCAGUAGCCGGACUGAGAGGUUGGCCGGCCACAUUGGGACUGAGACACGGCCCAGACUCCUACGGGAGGCAGCAG